UUACAGUCCAUUUGUGUAAUGCGAUUUUUUUGACUAUAUUUAAUACACCAUGCAGACGAUUUACAAAAUUUUUGGAAUUUUAAAAAAUAAUCUAAACAUGGCCUAAACAAAAAAAACAUAUAAACACCUUGCGAUAGUUUUUCCAACUCUAACCUCUUCCCGUCUGUACUAAUCUCAAAUGAAUGUUGGUCCAGUCCCAAAGGAACUCUAGCAUAGAAUGGUAUUUCUGAUUUCUCAGUGAAGCUAGGAAGAGGCAAGGAACCAGCGUACCUGGACUUUCAACUUUAUAGAGAGCUCUUACUACGUGUCUGAGUGUCUGAAUGUGGGUUUCUUCUAGAUGCUUUUUUUUUGAAGAAAAUUAUAGGAAAACUAUGUGAUUUUUUUCAAAACAAAACUAUUUAAAUAAUUGCGCCGGGAAAACUAGCUGACUCCCGUCGGCAGUCGCGCACGGCGCGAGUACGCCGAGAAGCUGUGACAGACCCGCCGAGUUAAAACACUUAAUUAAGCAUAACCGUCAUUAUUUGAAUACAUUAUGCGCAUUAGCUUAAUUAAGUGUAACUUGACAGGCUGUUUUCAACCCACAGACCGAUCGAAACACACUAGAAGUCUCGCACGACGGUGAGCGCAGAAGGUACCAGCAUGACAUAAUCUUACAAAAAUAGCAAGUAAUAUUAAAGCUUUUACAAAACAGCUUUAAAUUUAAAACUUAUAAAAACAAAAAAUAGCAACGGAAGAGAACCUGACUUGCAGAGCAUUUUUACUAGAAAAUAGAUAAAACAAACUAAAUAAGUAGAGAACUACCGAGACGUGAAGAUAAGGCGCCACAUCGAGCCCACCGAUAUGAAACCUAGUUAGCUCCUAUACCUGAAACAGGGUAAACAACAAACCCUGAGCAACUAAUACUCAGCAAGACUUACCCGACCAGUGGGUAUACUUAGCCCACAUAUCUAGACAUACAAGACUUUUUGGCUGGUGGUUGGUUUUGUAGAAAAGCACUAGAAGUGAGUCAUUAUUUUCCAAGUUUUAGCUCCCAUUUAUAUCAUUAGAUACUAAUCAUCUAUGAUUUGCAAACCUAUAACAAUCAAGGUGAACAAAACAUUAAUUAAAUAACAAUCAGCCCUCAUUGCAUCUCAUCUCAUUUUAUUCCAUUUCCUCUCUACGAUGUGACCAAGAGAUCAAAUCUCUCAUAACCGCGAGACACGGCGAAUUGAUUCGAUUUAACCUUGUUGAGGGCUCACUGGGGAGUCGAUUCUUGGGGUCCGAGGCGAGAAGAAGCGACUGGAGGGUGCAAAUCGAUGGUGGCCCCAAGCUUCGAGCGGCUCCAAUGGUGAACGGCCGAAGGAGCUUCAAUUGCCAUUGAUUGAGCCAAGGAGGAUCUUGGCCAGGGGUUGGGGAAGAUGGAGGAGCUCACCAAGAACCUAUCCUUGGGGUCAAUUUGGGCGGAGAAGGACCGGAGAAGCAGAUCGACGCGAAAGGGGUGGAGCUCGGGCGACGCUCCCAUGGCGGCAGGCGAUGUUGGGCCGAUUUCGGCCGGGGAAAGCUCAAGCGAGGCUUGGGGAGGUGCGGGGGAGGUGGAGGACAAGGUGAGAAAGGUGCUCGUGGAAGGAAUUGACGAACGGCGGCCGUAGGAAUGAGAUCGAUGGGAGGGGGCGGUGACGGGACGAGCUCAGCUUGGCUCUAUCUGGAGGAGGAAGAAAAUGAGAGGGAGGGAGAGAGAGAAAGCCCAUGGAGUAGAUAAGGCCGGGUUCCAACACCGGUUCGGAUGAUCCGGCUCUCACCCGGAUGAUUCGGAAUCCGGGGUGUUACAAUCCUACCCCCUUAAAGAAAUCUCGUCCCGAGAUUUAAGCGGAGAAGGAAAUACGGAGGUUUAGAUUGCUAAAGGGUUUCAUAGGUAGAUUUUAUAAGAUUGAUAUUCACAACAAAAGUAUUUCUUCGAACCCCUAAGUAUCUUCUGUGCAGUUGGUGAAAUCAUAGGCAUAGUUCCAGAGAUUCUGGGUGGUUGUGAGUGAAACUAGAUUUGUUAGAACCCAACAUUGUUUUGGUACAAGAAAAAUAAUUCCAUUCGAUCUUACGAUACGUGCACUAAGUUCCAAACCUAAGUGGGUGUUCCUAGAGUUGGUAGAUGUCGACCAGGAGAAGGAGAUUUUUCGACAUUUCUUCUUCUUAUUUUUUUGAUCCCCAAAGACUCUGUUGAUAUACACGAUUGGUAGAUAUUCUAGGAAGAAACCAAACACCUCGAUGGGUUGCGCAGAGAAGAUGUCAUUGGCCUAGAUAAGUAAGGGUAUCAAAGAAAAUUUUUGUUCAAGGAUACUCUUGCUCAUAUUGUUUAUUAUUUUGAGUUGCAUGAUGAAAGAUGCAUAUGUUGCUAUGCAGGUCAGUAGACUAUGACCCCCCAGAAACUUAAAUAUAAAACAGCCCAUUCACAUUGUUAUCCCCCCGAGAGCCUACCCCCUUAAAGAGCAAAAGCAGAGAAAAUGGUUCCAAAGCCUGUUCAAAAAGAAUUGGUGAUGUAGUUUCAUCCACAUGCACUUAAGCACCAGCACGCACCCAGUAGCACCAUCGCGUGGUGGCCACACACGCGAGGCCCUAGGCUCCAUCACGGCACUAAAGGUCAUGGGACAAAUCUCCACCUCCUAAGAAUCAAUAAUAGACUCCGAAUAACACAAAUGGAUCGAAAGAGAUUACAGAAAUCGAAAACAGCCAGAGAAUAUACUCGAAAGCACGAAUACAAAUGGUCAGCCGAACUACCACCAAUGUUUUCUGUAAUCGUGCAGUAACCUGGUAUGGCCCAACAAUGAAAUGCGAUGUGAUGCAAUAGUGGGCUUGCCAUAACUAAUUGAGCAAAAGGUCAAACUGACAUGGGUUGGAUAAUGGAUCUAAAGGUGACAAGAACAAGGAAAUAGAGCAAAAUUUGAAGAAGGAAGAACGGACUGGUCAACGAACCAGAAAAAGUGAUUUUCAGCUACUUAGAGUGUGAGAGGAUUCGAGAAGGCUCUGUAAUGGUUUCAGCCGGUCUUCUUCAAAGGACAGGUUUCCAGAAUACUGGAUCAAUAGGAGAAGAUCUGACCACCAAAAAUUGUCUCCGCUUUUAGUUGAGUAACAUAUCCUGGGAUUUUACUAUUUGCGGUAGCAAGGAGAGCAGUAGUAGAAGAUUAUACAACUGAUCAUAAAAAGAGAUACUGAAGGCGACCCUAUUUUGGUAGGCGGACUAUAUUAUAUAUAUUCAAGUUUUUAAUUUAUUCUGGUUUAAUUGAGCAAAAAUGCUAACGGUUCCAAUUUAGGUGUAGGAGUCAAGCGAACUAAAGAUAAACGAAUAUCAAUGCUAGAAGAACAACAGAAUGCUCUUAGUUAUCAAGAUUAGCCAGAAUCGAUUAUCUUCGAGCAUUGAAAUGAAUAACCCAGAAAUGAGGAUAUAUGAUCUCAAAUCAAUACUGACCAAUAGUAGAAGACAUCAACGUUUAGAGAAGAUAGAAUAGUAAUGGAACGACGAAUAGGAUAAUGUGAACCGAUUAUGGCGGGG